rnacentral:rRNA from 1 species
UUUUAGUGGCGGACGGGUGAGUAACGCGUGGGUAACCUGCCUCACACUGGGGGAUAACACUUAGAAAUAGGUGCUAAUACCGCAUAAGCGCGCGGGACUGCAUGGUCUUGUGUGAAAAACUCCGGUGGUGUGAGAUGGACCCGCGUCUGAUUAGCUGGUUGGCGGGGUAACGGCCCACCAAGGCGACGAUCAGUAGCCGGCCUGAGAGGGUGGACGGCCACAUUGGGACUGAGACACGGCCCAAACUCCUACGGAAGGCAGCAG